rnacentral:rRNA from 1 species
UCUUGGGUCAUUUAGAGGAAGUAAAAGUCGUAACAGGGUUCCCGUAGGUGACCCUGCGGAAGGAUCCUUUAUUGAAAUAAACUUUAGGGGUUGCUGCUGGCUUUCUCUUCUGAGGGGGCAAUUUGUGCACACCUCUAUCUAUUUCCCUUUACACCCCUUGUGCAUCUUGUGUAGGUUGAUAAAUAAUCAAUCUAUGUUUUUAUAUUGAUACCUUUGUUUUGAAUGGGAAUGUAAUUUUAAAACCUCAGUAAGCUUUUUAAGCUGAAAGGGAAUAAAAAUGUGUACAACUUUCAACAACGGAUCUCUUGGCUCUCGCAUCGAUGAAGAACGCAGCGAAAUGCGAUAAGUAAUGUGAAUUGCAGAAUUCAGUGAAUCAUCGAAUCUUUGAACGCAUCUUGCGCUCCUUGGUAUUCCGAGGAGCAUGCCUGUUUGAGUGUCGUGAAGUUUCUCAAACCCCUUUUCUUAAAGAUGUUUGGAAUUUGGGGGUGUGCUUUUUUAUGUGAACCCUUAAGAGGGUUUGUUAAAGCUCCUCUAAAAUGUAUUAGUAAAACCUGUCCCUCAAGGAUGGUGCAAAGCUUUGGUUUUGAUAAUGUCUUUAUCUUUAUAGCGCCUAUAGCUUUAGCCCAAUGAGAUCCUUGGACAAAAGGGUGCAGAGUUCUGCUUUACAAAAUAAGAAUUUGACACUUUGACCUCAAAUCAGAGRACUACCCGCUGAACUUAGCAUAUCAUA